rnacentral:rRNA from 1 species
AUUGAACGCUGGCGGCAGGCCUAACACAUGCAAGUCGAGCGGAUGAAGGGAGCUUGCUCCUGGAUUCAGCGGCGGACGGGUGAGUAAUGCCUAGGAAUCUGCCUGGUAGUGGGGGAUAACGUCCGGAAACGGGCGCUAAUACCGCAUACGUCCUGAGGGAAAAAGUGGGGGAUCUUCGGACCUCACGCUAUCAGAUGAGCCUAGGUCGGGUUAGCUAGUUGGUGGGGUAAAGGCCUACCAAGGCGACGAUCCGUAACUGGUCUGAGAGGAUGAUCAGUCACACUGGAACUGAGACACGGUCCAGACUCCUACGGGAGGCAGCAGUGGGGAAUAUUGGACAAUGGGCGAAAGCCUGAUCCAGCCAUGCCGCGUGUGUGAAGAAGGUCUUCGGAUUGUAAAGCACUUUAAGUUGGGAGGAAGGGCAGUAAGUUAAUACCUUGCUGUUUUGACGUUACCAACAGAAUAAGCACCGGCUAACUUCGUG